UACGAAGGGGGCUAGCGUUGUUCGGAUUUACUGGGCGUAAAGCGCACGUAGGCGGAUCGUUAAGUCGGGGGUGAAAUCCUGGAGCUCAACUCCAGAACUGCCUUCGAUACUGGCGAUCUUGGGUCCGGAAGAGGUGAGUGGAACUCCUAGUGUAGAGGUGGAAUUCGUAGAUAUUCGCAAGAACACCAGUGGCGAAGGCGGCUCACUGGCCCGGUACUGACGCUGAGGUGCGAAAGCGUGGGGAGCAAACAGG
rnacentral:rRNA from 1 species